UCUCUCUGAAUCUGCGAACGGCUCCGCAAACCAGUUGUAAACCAUAGCGAGCAUGUCCCUGGGCGGACCGCAAGGCGAGCUCAGGGGCGAUAAGGAUAACCCUGGUAAUUCUGAGGCUAAUACAAGAACGUAAAACCUGGCUGACCGGCAACGGGAGGUUGGGGGGCGUGCGACAUAUGCAAAAGAUAACUGGGAAUGGGUGCACGUUCAGACCGCCAUCCAAACGGUAGCGCUGGUUCGCCAGUGCGUCCGGGCGGCUCUCGCGUUGUGCUUCUGACCUAUCAACUAGAUGGCAGCGUAAGGGACAUGCUAUGGUGACAACGGGUACAGAGGAUAAGGGUUCGAUCCUGGAGAGUGGGCCUGAGAGAUU
rnacentral:rRNA from 1 species